rnacentral:rRNA from 5 species
UUUGGCGGCUUGGCGCCGUGGAACUACCUCUUCCCAUUCCGAACAGAGUCGUAAAACACGGUCGCGGCGAUGAUACUCCUUCGGGGGAAAGUAGCUAGCCGCCAGUU